rnacentral:tRNA from 2 species
GGGGUUUUAGCUCAGUUGGGAGAGCGCUUGAAUGGCAUUCAAGAGGUCAGGGGUUCGAAUCCCCUAAGCUCCACCA